GAUGAACGCUGGCGGCGUGCCUAAUACAUGCAAGUCGAGCGAACAGACGAGGAGCUUGCUCCUCUGACGUUAGCGGCGGACGGGUGAGUAACACGUGGAUAACCUACCUAUAAGACUGGGAUAACUUCGGGAAACCGGAGCUAAUACCGGAUAAUAUAUUGAACCGCAUGGUUCACUAGUGAAAGACGGUUUUGCUGUCACUUAUAGAUGGUUCCGCGCCGCAUUAGCUAGUUGGUAAGGUAACGGCUUACCAAGGCAACGAUGCGUAGCCGACCUGAGAGGGUGAUCGGCCACACUGGAACUGAGACACGGUCCAGACUCCGACGGGAGGGAGCAGUAGGGAAUCUUCCGCAAUGGGCGAAAGCCUGACGGAGCAACGCCGCGUGAGUGAUGAAGGUCUUCGGAUCGGAAAACUCUGGUAUUAGGGAAGAACAAAUGUGUAAGUAACUAUGCACGUCUUGACGGUACCUAAUCAGAAAGCCACGGCUAACUACGUG
rnacentral:rRNA from 1 species